AAAGACCUUCAAUUGUUCUCUGAACAAUUGGUUUUUAAUUAUUAUUAUUAUUAUUAUUUUUAUUUUCCGCCAAAUUUCUUUCUUGCGAUAAAUGUUUGUUUAGCAAUAUGUCGCUUAGAUAUUUCUCAUAUGGUAUCGUAUAGUUUAUGUCCUUUUAGAUUUCACCCUGCUAAGGCGAACCAUUUUCUUUGUAAGAGUUAUCUCCCUAUUCACUGUUUAUCAUCAUAGUGCAUCUCCUUCGUAACAAAAUAAGAUAUCGACAAAAUUCUUUUUACAAAUUGUUCGUUACAUCCACAGGAAAUUUUGGCUAAUUUGGAUCGAAGCGAUUGGAUGAAAUUUUAUAGGAGUUAUCUACCUUUACGGAAUAAAAUUGUCGGUAUGUUUUUUUAACUCAUAAACCGUUAACCG
rnacentral:lncRNA from 1 species